rnacentral:rRNA from 1 species
UACGUAGGGUGCAAGCGUUAAUCGGAAUUACUGGGCGUAAAGCGUGCGCAGGCGGUUCCGCAAGUCAGAUGUGAAAUCCCCGGGCUUAACCUGGGAACUGCAUUUGAAACUAUGGAGCUAGAGUGUGUCAGAGGGGGGUAGAAUUCCACGUGUAGCAGUGAAAUGCGUAGAGAUGUGGAGGAAUACCGAUGGCGAAGGCAGCUUACUACCCGAAUAUUGACACUGAGGCACGAAAGCGUGGGGAUCAAACAGG